CCUACGGGAGGCAGCAGUGGGGAAUAUUGCGCAAUGGGCGAAAGCCUGACGCAGCGACGCCGCGUGAGGGAUGAAGGUCUUCGGAUCGUAAACCUCUGUCAGCAGGGAAGAACGGUCACUGUGCUAAUCAGCAGUGAAUUGACGGUACCUGCAAAGGAAGCACCGGCUAACUCCGUGCCAGCAGCCGCGGUAAUACGGAGGGUGCGAGCGUUAAUCGGAAUUACUGGGCGUAAAGCGCUCGUAGGCGGUAUGUCAAGUCAAGGGUGAAAUCCCCGCGCUCAACGUGGGAACUGCCUUUGAAACUGGCAAACUGGAGUGUGUGAGAGGAUAGUGGAAUGCCAGGUGUAGGAGUGAAAUGCGUAGAUAUCAGGAGGAACAGCAGUGGCGAAGGCGACUAUCUGGCACAUAACUGACGCUGAGGAGCGAAAGCGUGGGUAGCAAACAGGAUUAGAUACCCGAGUAGUC
rnacentral:rRNA from 1 species